rnacentral:rRNA from 1 species
CGAAUCUGCCUUAAAGUGGGGGAUAGCUCGGCGAAAGCCGAAUUAAUACCGCAUGUGAUCAGGGGAGACAUCUUCCCGAAAUCAAAAGUGGCGCAAGCUACUGCUUUUUGAGGAGCCCGCGGCCUAUCAGCUAGUUGGUGAGGUAUUGGCUCACCAAGGCUUUGACGGGUAGCUGGUCUGAGAGGACGACCAGUCACACUGGAACUGAGACACGGUCCAG